AGUCAACCUACCCUAUGGACGGGGAUAACCUCGGGAAACUGAGAAUAAUACCCGAUAGGUCAUAAUGCCUGGAAUGGUUUAUGGCCGAAAUGAUUUAUCGCCGUAGGGUGGGACUGCGGCCUAUCAGCUUGUUGGUGUGGUAAUGGCUCACCAAGGCUAUAACAGGUACGGGCUCUGAGAGGAGAAGCCCGGAGAUGGGUACUGAGACAAGGACCCAGGCCCUAUGGGGCGCAGCAGGCGAGAAAACUUUGCAAUGUGCGAAAGCACGACAAGGUUAAUCCGAGUGUUUCCUGCUAAAGGAAUCUUUUGUUAGUCGUAAAACCACUAGUGAAUAAGGGGUGGGCAAGUUCUGGUGUCAGCCGCCGCGGUAAAACCAGCACCUCAAGUGGUCAGGAGGAUUAUUGGGCCUAAAGCAUCCGUAGCCUGCUCUAUAAGUUUCCGGUUAAAUCCAUUCGCUCAACUAAUGGGCUGCCGGAAAAACUGUAGAGCUAGGGAGUGGGAGAGGUAGACGGUACUCGGUAGGAAGGGGUAAAAUCCUUUGAUCUAUUGAUGACCACCAGUGGCGAAGGCGGUCUACCAGAACACGUUCGACGGUGAGGGAUGAAAGCUGGGGGAGCAAACCGGAUUAGAUACCCGGGUAGUCCCAGCUGUAAACUAUGCAAACUCAGUGAUGCAUUGGCUUGUGGCCAAUGCAGUGCUGCAGGGAAGCCGUUAAGUUUGCCGCCUGGGAGGUACGUACGCAAGUAUGAAACUUAAAGGAAUUGGCGGGGGAGCACCACAAAGGGUGAAGCCUGCGGUUC
rnacentral:rRNA from 1 species